CCUACGGGAGGCAGCAGUGGGGAAUAUUGGGCAAUGGAGGCAACUCUGACCCAGCAACGCCGCGUGAAUGAUGAAGGUCUUCGGAUUGUAAAGUUCUGUGAUGGGGGAUGAACACAAUGACGGUACCCCAAUUGCCAGCCACGGCUAACUACGUGCCAGCAGCCGCGGGAAUACGUAGGUGGGAAGCGUUAUCCGGAAUGACUGGGGGUAAAGGGUGGGUAGGGGGUUUAGUAAGCUGGCGGUGAAAUUCCGGGGCUCAACCCCGGCGCUACCGCCAAAACUAUUAGACUAGAGUGGACGAGGAGUAAGUGGAAUGCGUGGUGUAGCGGUGAAAUGCGUAGAUAUUAGGAGGAACAUC
rnacentral:rRNA from 1 species